CCGGGAUUUCGGGAUCUGGAUCCCUCCUUCCCUCCUCCCUCUAUUAUGGUUAAAGAAAAGAGGUCAGGGAAGUUUUGUGAUACUUGUAACUGCAAUUUAAUAUUUAGUGAAAUGAGAGGUGAAAUGUGUUCAGACUAUUACAUUUAGAUUUUUUUAAAAUUUAACCCAAGUUUACUGCAAGGGGUGUUUAACGACCUCGAUGAUUAUCCAUGAGGAUCUCGCACUCGGUUAGCUCUAGGUUUUCACCUAGUUCAUGAUCAUACAAGAAUUGAGAAGACUGUGGUUUACUAGUCUUAUAAUAUGAGACUUUGGAGUUCAUAUAAUUUACAUUCAACGUUUUUAUCGAAUAUUUCAAGGCUUUUUGACUAUCAAUGUUGACCCCCCCCCUUUUCCAAUUGAUUGGAUAAAAUGAAUGGAUUGCCGCCCCUAUUUCAAACUGAGGUCCUAUAAACUGACUGGUAUUCGAAUUUGUUAAAGAAAUAAUUGGUAUCUCUGACUCAUAUUGAUUCAAUACCGUAAUGCGAAAAACAAUCAUUUGUUUCCGCGAAUUCCGAACAGUUAGAAAUAUAUUCCCGAG
rnacentral:lncRNA from 1 species